rnacentral:lncRNA from 1 species
CUAGGCCCUCAUUAGGGAGAGCAGGCAGUAGACAGACAGGUCUGUCUGGUGAGAGGCUCACUCUUCUGUGUCUCUUAGUGAAAGCUGGAUUGGAAGGUACAGUUAUGCUUCCUUCUUCCUAAGACAGGAGAAGACAAGGGAAAUUAAGGAACAUGGAGCUGCAAGGGGUCCCUUCUCUCCCGGAAUCAGGCUAACAAACCUGCUUGCUCACAGAGUGAAUAGGGCCUUAUUGUUAAUAAUGGGGUUUGACUCUGCUUUUCUCAUUUCUUCUCAUAUAAUUACUUUCAAUGAGUAAAAAGUUGAAAACCUCGGUGGAGAUAGCCUUGACAUAAUAUUGCUCUCUCUGAACCAUGACUCAAACGAGAGGAACAAACCAACAAGGA